rnacentral:rRNA from 1 species
AACGAACGCUGGCGGCAUGCCUAACACAUACAAGUCGAACGAGACCUUCGGGUCUAGUGGCGCACGGGUGCGUAACGCGUGGGAACCUGCCCUUAGGUUCGGAAUAACUCCCCGAAAGGGGUGCUAAUACCGGAUAAUGUCUUCGGACCAAAGAUUUAUCGCCUUUGGAUGGGCCCGCGUUGGAUUAGCUAGUUGGUAGGGUAAAAGCCUACCAAGGCGACGAUCCAUAGCUGGUCUGAGAGGAUGAUCAGCCACACUGGGACUGAGACACGGCCCAGACCCCUACGGGAGGCAGCAGUGGGGAAUAUUGGACAAUGGGCGAAAGCCUGAUCCAGCAAUGCCGCGUGAGUGAUGAAGGCCUUAGGGUUGUAAAGCUCUUUUACCCGGGAUGAUAAUGACAGUACCGGGAGAAUAAGCUCCGGCUAACUCCGU